rnacentral:rRNA from 1 species
UACGAAGGGAGCUAGCGUUGUUCGGAAUCACUGGGCGUAAAGGGUGCGUAGGCGGGUCUUUUAAGUCAGGGGUGAAAUCCUGGAGCUCAACUCCAGAACUGCCUUUGAUACUGAGGAUCUUGAGUUCGGGAGAGGUGAGUGGAACUGCGAGUGUAGAGGUGAAAUUCGUAGAUAUUCGCAAGAACACCAGUGGCGAAGGCGGCUCACUGGCCCGAUACUGACGCUGAGGCACGAAAGCGUGGGGAGCAAACAGG